rnacentral:rRNA from 1 species
UACGUAGGUGGCAAGCGUUGUCCGGAUUUAUUGGGUUUAAAGGGUGCGUAGGCGGUUUUUUAAGUCAGUGGUGAAAUACUUCAGCUUAACUGGAGAGGUGCCAUUGAUACUGGGAAACUUGAGUACUGAUGAGGUAGGCGGAAUGGACGGUGUAGCGGUGAAAUGCUUAGAUAUCGUCCAGAACACCGAUAGCGAAGGCAGCUUACUAAGGAGUAACUGACGCUGAGGCACAAAAGUGUGGGGAUCAAACAGG